CCUACGGUGUGCAGCAGUGGGGAAUAUUGGACAAUGGGCGAAAGCCUGAUCCAGCCAUGCCGCGUGUGUGAAGAAGGCCUUCGGGUUGUAAAGCACUUUCAGUGGGGAAGAAAGCCUUGGGGCUAAUACCCUCGAGGAAGGACAUCACCCACAGAAGAAGCACCGGCUAACUCCGUGCCAGCAGCCGCGGUAAUACGGAGGGUGCGAGCGUUAAUCGGAAUUACUGGGCGUAAAGCGCGCGUAGGCGGUCUGAUAAGCCGGUUGUGAAAGCCCCGGGCUCAACCUGGGAACGGCAUCCGGAACUGUCAGGCUAGAGUGCAGGAGAGGAAGGUAGAAUUCCCGGUGUAGCGGUGAAAUGCGUAGAGAUCGGGAGGAAUACCAGUGGCGAAGGCGGUCUUCUGGACUGACACUGACGCUGAGGUGCGAAAGCGUGGGUAGCAAACAGGAUUAGAUACCCUGGUAGUC
rnacentral:rRNA from 1 species